rnacentral:rRNA from 1 species
CCCAUAUGGUCGACCUGCAGGCGGCCGCGAAUUCACUAGUGAUUAGAGUUUGAUCAUGGCUCAGAUUGAACGCUGGCGGUAUGCUUUACACAUGCAAGUCGAACGGGUCAAGAAGCUUGCUUCUUGGUUAGUGGCGAACGGGUGAGUAAUAUAUCGGAACAUAUCCGGAAGUGGGGGAUAACGUAGCGAAAGUUACGCUAAUACCGCAUAUGCCCUGAGGGGGAAAGGGGGGGAUCGCAAGACCUCUCGCUUUCGGAGUGGCCGAUACCGGAUUAGCUAGAUGGUGAGGUAAAAGCUCACCAUGGCGACGAUCCGUAGCUGGUCUGAGAGGACGACCAGCCACACUGGAACUGAGACACGGUCCAGACUCCUACGGGAGGCAGCAGUGGGGAAUUUUGGACAAUGGGCGAAAGCCUGAUCCAGCCAUACCGCGUGAGUGAAGAAGGCCUUCGGGUUGUAAAGCUCUUUCAGCCGGAAAGAAAUUGCUUCUAUUAAUACUAGGAGUAG